rnacentral:rRNA from 1 species
GAUGAACGCUGGCGGCGUGCCUAAUACAUGCAAGUCGAGCGAACAGACGAGGAGCUUGCUCCUCUGACGUUAGCGGCGGACGGGUGAGUAAAACGUGGAUAACCUACCUAUAAGACUGGAAUAACUUCGGGAAACCGGAGCUAAUACCGGAUAAUAUAUUGAACCGCAUGGUUCAAUAGUGAAAGACGGUUUUGCUGUCACUUAUAGAUGGAUCUGCGCCGCAUUAGCUAGUUGGUAAGGUAACGGCUUACCAAGGCAACGAUGCGUAGCCGACCUGAGAGGGUGACCGGCCACAAUGGAACUGAGACACGGUCCAGACUCCCACGGGAGGCAGCAGUAGGGAAUCUUCCGCAAUGGGCGAAAGCCUGACGGAGCAACGCCGCGUGAGUGAUGAAGGUCUUCGGAUCGUAAAACUCUGUUAUUAGGGAAGAACAAAUGUGUAAGUAACUAUGCACGUCUUGACGGUACCUAAUCAGAAAGCCACGGCUAACUACGUG